rnacentral:lncRNA from 1 species
UGAUAUCUGUUAGUGCAACAAUCGUCUUGCUCUUUGCCUUUGCAUUUGUUCUGAUAAUGACGACAAGGAAAAUAAAUGGUAAGCUUCAGUUCACUUACCAACAUCUAGUAUAUCUACUAUACUUACGCAUCUAGUAUAUACUCUUUCUUUCAAUUAUGCCACUCCGAAGUCCCAAAUAACCCAAGAACACCAAAACAAUUUUUACACAAAACAAUUUUUACACAAAAUAACCUAUGCUCAAGUUUUACACAAAACAAUAACACGUAUUCCCAAAGCAUGCUUCAAAUUGGUCAAGACACGUAAAUAUGAGCUCUUAAGAUUAACGGAUUCUUCUUUUUUGUUAUUUACUAGUACCUCAAAAGUAUGAGAAAAAUGGAGAAGUUUUCUACUUGGAAAAUAUUUCUUGUGUUUCAUACUAUUUUCAUGUGUACACUAAAAGUUUUUGUACCAUUGUAUGUUUAUGAGCAUUCUGUGUUGGGGAAGAAGCAUUGGUUUUACAAAUAAGUUAUAAUCCAAAAGACAACCCUGUGGAGGUUAUAGGGCUGCAAAAGUUAUUAUUAAAAUAGAUAAGGAUUGUGAUAGAGAAGGAAGGGUUGUUAUUAUGAGGUUGGGAGUACAUUGUUGUUUUGAUUCAACAAUUCACUAGAGAGAAAAUAGAUUUAUCUACUUGCAAUAACCAACUACCAUCUAGGUAGAAAAAUAAACCCUGGGAAACUCGUUUAUUUGCUCAAUACUAAAAGCCCCUAGGCAUUCUAGCAAAAAGGUAACUCCACCUUAACUGAAACCAACCCAUCAAUUAUGAUUUCUCAAGUGUUGACUGUACCCUUAUCUCUUGAAAACAAACCAUGGUUGUCCAUGAGACGAGCCAACCCGAUAAGUCCCACCUUAAAUUCCUAUUUCAUUGGUUGGUAUACUUGCCCUUGCUCUUGAGAAAGGUUCUUGAGACAGCGAUCUCAAGUCCCAGGUUCCCUAGAAACCUGAGAUGCGUGCUGCCAGAUCAUCUAGAUCCGGAGGGUGAGAUAAAGGCAGCUAACAGAGGUGGCACUGAUAUCACUGCUUGAACAUAAGCAAUGGCAUAGCUUAUGUACAAAUAUAAUUAUUUUCGCCUUUUGAUAAGCAACAUUUUUCUUUCAGAGGUGCAUAUUUCAUUCUAUUGGUUAUAGUAAUGUAUAACAAAUCUUAUGCUCAUCUUUACAUCGUUCAAAAGUGAAAUCAGAGCAUAGCAUCCUCAUCGAUCGUGUAUGGUUUGGGAUUCAACAAGAACACAUCUUUGGGGAAGUAAACAAGAAGUAAUUCAAAUUGAUAUGUCUCUGGAAUACCCAGUUGUCUCCUCCAAAAGAAUCAAGUAACCUUUGAAGAAAAUGUUUCCUUUUGUGGUUCAACAAUUUUCUCCACACUGACUAGACAGUUUCUCAAAAAUAAAAAGAAUGACAAAACAGGCAUCAUAUAUCAUAGUUGGGUCUAUUUCCGAUAGUAAGAAUUUAAGCAGUAAGCCCAGGGCUAAAAUUUCAAAGAAACAAUCCCCAUCUAUGGGGCAACAAACCCACCACAAUUGCUUAUGAAGUCAAAUCAAUGAAAUUUGGUAUAACACACGACAAAAUACAAUUGAUUAUCUUAGAAGAAAUCAGCCAGUAAAAGGAACUAAUUUUUCAAGAUCAAAAGCCAAUGUAUCUGCCCUAACUUCUCAGACCUUUGUUCUUGAUGACCCCAAGACAAGGUUCCAGGUUUUUUUUAGCCUUUGUGACUGCUGCAUCCAUGUCUAUGCACAAACUUAUUUCCUAGUAAAUUAAAGGUACUGUUAUUUCCCAGAUGUAUUAAUUUUUGUCUCCUAUAUUGAAAAUAAUAUUGAUUUGGUAUCUUAAUAACCUGUACUGGGAUCAUUUCUAAAAACCGUGAGAAUUUAGAAACAGCUGAGGAAACAGACUAGGAGUAGAGACUAAAUAGACCAUGACAAAGAAUAUGCCUGAAUAGCUAACGCAGAAUUUCUAAAAUAAUAGAAAAGUCAAGUGGAAAUAUCUAUCUUAUUGAUUUGUCCCACAGAUUGUUUUGCUCUUCACUAAUUGCACCAGGAACAAGAAUGAGAAAAAGAAAAACUUCAUCAAAUUCAGAUGGUGCUCAAACAUUUACACACUCUGAGAUUGUUAAAAUAACCAAUGACUAUGAAAAGAUCAUUGGUAAGGGAGGAUAUGGGCCUGUCUUCUAUGGGCGCCUGGAUGAUGGCCGUGAAGUUGCUGUCAAGAUUUUGUCCAAAGAAUCACAUCAAGGAGCCAAAGAAUUCUCUAAUGAGGUUUGUAUGAGAAAAGAAACUAAAUCUAGUUUUACAUUCACAUAUUCUUACUUGUAAUCAGGAUAAAUAUUUGGACUUUGGGAUAAUGCUUUGAUGAUGAUGACGAAGAAAAAGGAUAAAUAUUUGGACUUUGGAAAUACAGGUCAAACUGUUGAUGAGAGUUCAUCACAAGUAUUUGGCCUCCUUGAUAGGAUUCUCUGAGGAAGGCAAAGAGAAGAUUCUUGUCUAUGAAUAUAUGUCUAAAGGAAAUCUGAAUUCGAUCCUGUCAGGUAUGACCUUUGAAUUGCUUUCUUUCACUUGUAUCCUAUUGUAAGUUCUGUCUUUUUUUCUGUUUUUUUCUUAAAGCUUUAUAGGACUACUAGCAGUGAUCCCCUUUUACAACUCCAUUAUUCUACAGGACAAGUGUAUUAUUAGGAGAUACUGUCAUUUUCAUUUUUAUUCUUGUUAUGUAUGCUGUAAAUAGAACCACUAAGGCAAACAUUAAAUCAUAACAAAGAUAACUCUAUCCAUGAGUAGCAAUACAGCUUGUGCAGAAAGUCACAAUGCUCAUAAAGCAUUGAUUUGUUGACAUGAAUUAGAGUGUGUUGGAUAUUUUAAUUAAAAUACAACAUACAAAUAGAAGAAUUACAAUAAUACUAAUUAGAAUUAUUAACAAUGUCAACCACAAGAAAAGAACAUAACAAUAAAGAGUGACAAGGUACGUAUCCCCAACAUAACAAUAUCUAACUAUGAUGCACCUAAAGCAAUCUAAUGAAUUCCUAAUUAGCCAUGUUUACCUACCACCCAAAAAAAAAGAAAGAAAAAAUAUCCAUUCUAGUGAGAUCACUACUGCUCUCAAUGGAUAGUUCUCUUGUGAGAUCAUCAGCCAAUUGGCCCUUAGGCUUUAUCUAUGGGAGACACCCCUGGAUUGCUUACUGAAGGUUAAGGGUUUGACCCUUGAAGUCAGGCCCAGAAUAACAAACGAAGCUAACCUACACAUUGUUUUUUGAAACUCAGUAUGUACUAAAGCUUACUAAGGUCCUUUGUAUAGCAUCAUAAUAUAUUUCGACUUAGCUACUAUCUAUGUGCAUGUUUACAUAUAUAUGGCACAUUGUUCCCUGAUUUGAUCAAUGAGAUAUACAUCUAUACUUUUUACCCAAUCAUUGUGCCUGAAUGCUCUUUUCCUCUUUUCAUUAUUUUCCUCUUUUCUUUCUUAAAUUUAACAUGUUAUCAGAGCAGACCUAGAAAUCCUAUGAUGUCAAUUUUUUUUGCAACCCUAGAAUCAAGAUUUUCCUUUCUUCUUGGGAUUUAAAUUGAGAUAUAUCAGCAAGCCCAUAUUUUUCAAGUAAUAUCAUUUCAUUAUUUUACUGGGUAAGUUCAUCCCAGAUUCUUUGUCUUUCAUGCAAAACAGGAAGAAAAGGAAACCCCAGACCUCAUUCUCUCAAAAUUUUUUUACCCCAUUCCAGAAAACCAAUUAUAUUCCAUAUCCUUCUUGUCCAAAAGAACCAAAAAAAAAGGAAAAUUUUUAGAGCUUUGAAAACUAGUAAAGCAAUACAUCAAGAAAAGAUAGAGUUGAGUUAGUAGAGAGAGAGAGAGAGAGAGAGAGGAAAAAAAAGUUAGAAAUCAAGCACAAUAUUUCCCUUGGAAGCAGUCAACUUGAGCACCCAAGAUUGAUGAUCACUAUAAUUAGAUGGGACAAACUACUUAGAAUGGUCUCAAUCUGCCAUAAUGUUCAUAGGAAGAUGGAGAAAAUUGGUUACAUCACAAGGAAGGUGAAGAACCACCAUCCAUGACGAAUGGGAAAGUGAGUAUCUGAAUUUGACUGUGAUGGCAUGACUUCUUUAUUCCAUUCCGCCAAGCAUCAAUAAGGGAUUGUUUCGCCUCAAUCAUGGCCUAAUGAAUGUACCCAUGGCGGGCUUUGCAUCUCUAUGCACUAAUCGAAGCACUUUCACCAAAGGGUGAGAGAUUUGCAAGCAAUAGUAGCAUUGGGUCCAAAAGGAAGUAUUAAAAACAAUGUUCUCUGCUUUUCUCCCAACUUGAUGCCUUCACCACCAAUUUCCAGUCUACUUCUCUAAAGUGAACAUGCUCCUUAGGCCAUCAUUUUGCUUACAUAGGCAUUGAAGAGUGAGAAAUGUAGUGGCAAAUCUAGUGACUCCUGCUCUCACUCUCUCUCUCUUUUGUAAACUCUCUCACUAUAGUAUGUUAUAGAUUAAAUUAAUGAAUAGACUUAGCUUUGGUGAUUGCCCCAUUAACCAUAGAUGUCUUCCCUAUUUCCUCAAGCCCGAGAUCAGCAUAAUGAGAUGCAAGGAGUCCAAAACAUUUGCCUCAUCUUCAAAGUCAAGAGAUGCCUAGUUGCAAAGGAAUUACCAUUGUAGGUGAUAAUAAGUACCACAUUAUCUACAAUUUCAUCCAUCCAUCCACACAAAUAAGUUGCAUCAUGUGAUUUGUAUGAUGCAUAAAUCGAUUUCACAAAAGGAGUACCUAAAGGAGUCCGAGACUUUCCAUUGGACCACCACUACACAUGAUGGUCACCCCAUACUUCUCCCACCCUUCUUCUUGAGAAGUCAAAAUAUAUUUCACAUCCUUUAUGCAUCCUUCAAAAUUGGCUUCAUGAGCUCAUGAAAUGAAGGGGGUUUGGGCCUUGGGCCAAACUGCCCAAUUGCCCCCAACCAUAACCUUGAAGCUAUCAUGGCACUUGCUAUUGAAAGGAAUACCAACUAGAUAAAACCACUUGGCAACGUAUUUCUAAACCUUAUGCCUCCCUUCUUUCUUGUAUCUAUUCUCAAGUGUGGUUUGUUUUGUUUUCUUCCUCAUGUCUUCGACCAUAACUCCGGGGUUAAGGGAACAAAAAGAUUCGAUUGGUCCUAUAGGGAGAGGCUUUAUAUGAAUUUCCACUAAUAUUUAUAACCCUCUCCCUUAUAAUUCUACGCCCACUUCCAACGUUGGAAUGCAUCUUCUACAUCAUCAUCACACAUAUGAAUUUCAACUAAAACUCUUUUUAUUUCAUUUUUUUUCUAUUUUCUUUUUAAGUAUAUUCAAAUACACCCUAAUCUCACUUCUAAUCUCAUCCAUUGCUUGACGGCAUGCUCUCACAUUCCUGAUAAUUUUGACAAGAUGUUCUUUUUGCCAGUAUAUGUUUUCUCACAUUCCUGUUAAUUCACCCAGUAUAGGUUUUCUGACAUAGCAUAAAAAAAAACACAAUUUUGAUCCUUUGCAUAGGUAAAUCUUGAAUAUUUCCAUGUCGGAUCUUUGUUGCUUGAUGUAGCCGGCCUUAAAUAAUUGGGAAAAAGUUAUGAUGAUGAUGAUCUUUAUUGCUUGAUGAAGAAGACAUUGUUUUUAAAAGGAAAGUAAUAGUUGAUAGAACUUACAAAAAAUGAUUAAAAAGGAAAUGAAUAGUUGAUGGAACUUACCAAAAAUGAUGAUCCAAAAUUCAAAACUUUUGAUUCCAAACCCUAAAUCAAAAGAAAUUUCGGUUUCUUGGAUUCAAUCUCCUAGGCCCUAAAUCCUUCGAAUACUUGUUGAAUUUUUACCAUAAACCAUCAAAAUGAACCCUCAAAAAAAUAUCAAUCAAUUGACCAAAGAUUCAAGAACAAAUCCUGACUUCUUUUCAAAAAAAUUUGGAAACACAAAUAUUUUUUUAAUCUAUUUUUCUUUUUUGUUUUUAUUUGAAUCCCCUUUAAACCAUGGAAACAUGGUUCUAAGGGUUUUUAGGGAGAUCAUAUACCCCCCAAACCGUUUGGACCCCAUUUCCCUCCUAGGUGGGGUGACUUUUUGCCCAAGCUCGUGGGCAAAAUUUCCUCCCACAAGACAUGGGCACAUAUGCGAGUAUCACCAAAUGUGUGAUGCGGCCCAUAUGUGAUCGAUGAGCCACAUAUGAGGCCGCAUCACGAAAACCCACCUAUACGGGUGUGAGAGAUACGCCCAUGCCUACACGACACAUUAUGCCUUGUCUCUAAGUAAAACCUUUUGCAACCAACCUUGUGUUGUAUUUUUCAAUAUGCCAUCUGCCUUGUAUUUCAUGGUAAACACCCACUUGCAUCCCACCACCUUCUUUCCCUUUGGAAGUUUAGCGAUCUCCCAAGUGUUAUUGCUAGAACUUGCAUUUUCCCCCACGUCGCAGCAUUCCACUGAGGUUGUGUUAAAGCCUCACACUGGAUGGAAUAUUAACAGUAGAUACAGAUUAUAGGAAAACACAAUAGGAAGGUGACAUGACAUUAUAAGAAACAAAGUUAUGGCAUUUUGUGUACAUGAUCUCUUGCCUUACAUAAUACAAUCAGUAAGUCAAUAUCUGACACAGGGAAUGGAUUAGAAGGUCAAGAAAUACUAGGAUGAGAAGGAUCAUUACCUGAUUCCAUAUCGACACCUGAGUCAUAAUCGUUUUGGACUUCAUGUUGUACCAACUUCUUCCUUCUAAUAUUAGUCUUCAACUCCUUUUCCUUGAUUGCAAUUGGUAUGUUCCCAUUUUCAAUUUUAGGCAUCUCAUAAACUCCAAAAAAUAAAGGGAACUGGAGUUGGAGUAGAUAAAGGUAGUGGAACUAAGAUUUCUCACUUCUUGACAACCGUGCUCUCCUUGAAGAGAGCAUUUCUAUCCAGGAGGAGAGAAAUAUGAAAUAGACUCAAAAAACUUAACAGCUCUAUAGUUGUGUUUGGAUGUUAUUUUCCUCUCUUUCUUCUCAAACUUGACAGAUCUAUAGUUGUGUUUUAUUUCAAAGGUUAUUUACAUAUAGUACUCUUGAGAUCAUCUCUCAAGUGAUCCAUGAUCUGUUGUAACAUUGGAUCAGACGAUAUGUGGAAGGCACUUCUAUUGUCACAGAAGAAUAUAGGUAUAACUCAUAUGCAACGAUCGAUGCACGCUUAAACAAGUAGACAAGUUAGCUUGAAUGUAAUGGCCCAAAAUCAAUGUUGGAUGCGAUUGUGGUUCUCUACUUCAUGAUAAAUUUGUGUAACUAUUUUGAACUUUUGAUGUUAUUACAUUACACAUAAAAAUAAUACCGUGUUGCAUUGCUAACCAUUUUAUUUGAAUGAAAAAGUUAUUAAAAAUAGAAUCAAUUAUUACAUAAACAUAUCACACAUACAUCUUUCAAGUUAUUAAAUAAUAUCAUAAACUAUACACAUAUAAAUACGUCACAAAUAUACAUACAUAUGCACACGCAUGUAUUACAUACAAAUAUAAAUGCAUCAUACGUACAAACAUAAAUGUUCCUUUAGCUAACUGACUUCCUUUAGCUACCUAGAGCUAGAGCUAGAGCUAACUAGCUUUCCUGAAGCUACCUAGCUUUCCUGAAGCUACCUAGAGCUAGAGCUAGAGCUACCUAGCUUUCCUGAAGCUACCUAGAGCUAGAGCUAGAGCUACCUAUCUUUCCUGUAGCUACCAUAGCCUAUCUUCCCUUUAGCUACCUACACUAGCUAAUCGUAGCUACGUAGAGCAUAUAUACUUAUAUAUGUGUAUAUGUUCAUACAUAAACUUAGCUAUGUUGUAGUGCCUUUUACGGAUCAAUGUUCAGAAACAAUAGUGGGUGUGACCAUGGUUCUCUGCUUUGAAGCUUUUGCAUCCUCUUACAUAGUCAUCUAGGGUUCACCCUCUUCCAUUCAACAAAUGCACUGCAUACCUCUUGCACAAUCACUAAGAUCAAAGUAUCAAGCCACCUAACCCAAUUUCAUUGUUGACUAGAACACCUAUUUCUUGCAUUCUUUCUUAAAACUACUUUUACCUAUUUAUUAUCACUUUUUGUUACAGAAAAUAUGAAAUAAUUUAAACCAUAUCUCACAAAAUUAUCUCAUAGUCUCAAAAUGGACUCCUCAAAUUUUCAAAUUGUUAAGGAUAGAAUGACAGUUUUUGCUUGGAAAAGAGUCAGAGAAAUCUUGCAAUGAUUAGAAAAUUUAAAAUAAAAAAAAAAAAGAAUGCUAGCCAUGGCAAGAAAGUUAUGAAGUAUGGCACUAUGGAUGCAUUAUAUAAAUUGGAAAAAAAAAAAAAGAUAUAAUCAAAUCAUAGGGGAAUAACACAACAAACAAUCGUUUAAAAGUAUUGUGUUUCUGGAAGGAAAUAAAUUACUUCCAUUCAUAAUCCAGAUUCCGGUAGCUUUAAACAAACCAUUCUGUUGAAUUAUAAUACUACAAUAAUUGGGAGUACCUAUUAUUGCCAUUGGUAAUCCACAGAUUGGUAGAAGAAAAUUAAAAACUUUUUCAGUUUCCUGACUGCUGGAUUCAUUCCACCUAUAUGUAGUUUUGGGGUCAUGUAAUUCUCUUAGGACUCUCAAUGAUAUUACGGUCAUGUAUCCAGCAAAAUAAAACCAGUUUUUAUUGUAGUUUUCAGCAGUUCUCGAUAGCAGAACUCUAAAGCAUAUAGACUGAUACUCUCCAAAACAUAUAGAGAGAGACAAAGGCUGAUACUUACUUCAGUGCAAACUAAAAAACCAGUUGAGGCACCUUGUUUCAAAUAUCAUUUCCUAUGUACAUCACAAAGACAGUUCUGCAAUCAAAACAAAUGCCUUCUAUUGAGCCACUCAUAUUUUCCACUAUCAAAAUAAUGAUGUAGAUUUGAAACAUCUGCAUUUCACAUUGAAGCAUCAGCUUCAAUUAUAAUAAAGUGUAUAUAGCACUGUGAUGAAAAGAUACUCUGAAUUGUGUGCCACUUCAUGCAGACAAGAGUAGCAGCUCAAAAGUAUUGAACUGGGAACAACGAAUUCAAAUUGCUCUGAGUGCUGCACAAGGUAUGCACGAAAAUUUAGCAUCAAUUGUUUUCCUUCUUUUCUUGAUUUCAAGUACUUAGCAAGUACUUUGGUUUGUAGGAUUGGAGUACCUACAUUAUGGAUGCAAACCACCAAUUGUUCACAGAGAUGUAAAGACAUCCAACAUCCUUUUAAAUGAGAAAUUGGAAGCCAAAUUAGCAGAUUUUGGGUUGUCCAGAUUCGGGCCAACUGAAGGAGAUACUCACAUAUCAACUACUGUUAUGGGCACACCGGGAUAUGUGGAUCCUGAGUAUGUAGUGAACUAAAGGAGGAACUCUCAAUAAUACAACGAUCUCACUGCAUCAAUUGUUUCUUGAUUCUAUUUAUUUGACUUCUAUUUCUAGCUUCCAUGUAUUCCUCCCCCCCUUCUCCACCUUUUUUUUAUCCUUCAAAUUUCAACCCAAGAAGAGGAAUUGUAGCAUGUCCUUUAAUUUUCCUGCCAGUCAACAAGUUUUGGCUUCUCUAUUCUCUCAACCAACCAAAAGGACACAUUCUAUGCCCGUUUUUCACUCAUCAACUUCAUCUGUCCUAAUAAAGAUAUGCCCAGGCUUCUCUAUGGAAGCUCCAUUAAACUCUAGCCACCCUUGCUGCUUUUUAUGAGGGUGAAAAUAUUCAUUUAUCCAAUAUAGAAGGAAAAAAUAACCUGAAACGUUUUAAUCUAUUUCUUUCACCUUCUGUAAUCAAAGAAAACCAUGCUUCAAAGUACACUAUAUUUUCAUUUAUCUCAUCCAUUCCAUCUAGAUGCUAUAGGGUCAUGUGCUUACCUAAAUUUCAAGUAACUCUAUUCAAUUAUAUGAAAAGGGGACAGGGAACAGAAACUACGGACACAUAGAAACCUUAUUUACCAUUUUUUAGAUAAUUUUUAUAAUUGUUUAGAAGACCUGAAGCUUUUUCCCAGAAUAUCUGAAACCAAGGAGAGCUUUUCUUCACCAAUUUUGCUUUCCUACAUGAGCAAUAUAAAGUUUCCAGUGGGUUGUCUGGGUGAUGGUUCGGUUUUCCCUUUCAUUCCCUAUCAUUUCUAUGAUGCAAACAUAAGGCCAAUCAACAACGGCUGACAAAAAAAAUGAUGUAUACGAGAUCAAUAUUUUGCAAGGACUCUUCUGAUAUUACUUGAACUUAAAAUGGUAGAUUUUUAUUGUUCAACAUGCGAAAUACUAGUUAAGCUAACUCCAUUAAAAUUGCAGGUAUUACAUUACCAACAAGCUAAAUGUGAAGAGUGAUGUUUAUAGCUUUGGGAUAGUUCUUUUAGAAAUUAUCUCAGGUCAGCCGGCAAUAAUUGAGGAAGAAGCAAUUCAUAUAGUACAGUGGGUAACUCCCAAGGUUGUAAGAGGGGAAAUUGACAGUGUGAUCGAUCCAAAGUUGCAAGGCGACUAUGACAUUAAUUCUGCAUGGAAAGCUGCAGAGAUAGCACUGGCAUGUACACCACAGUCCGCCAUAAAGAGGGCCACCAUGAGUGAUGUUAUCGGGGAACUGAGGGGAUGCAUCCAGUUGGAGCGUUCCCGUCUCAAAAGGAGAAGCUCAAGAAAGGAAUCCUUCACAUCAAUCAGCUUGGAAUCGGAAAUCCUGUUUGAUCCUUCAGCAAGGUAGUGAGCAUGGCAGUUUCAGGCAUAAGACCACUGUAGUUAUAUGGAGCAUAUGCCAGAGUUCUCACUUAAAUCAAUGAAACUAGGCAAUUUUUUCAUCACUAUUUUUCUCUUGUUGUUGUUCCCAAUUAUGAGAAGGGACAACCAAUAUAUGUAUCUUGGACACCUCAUUUGCAAGGUCAAGGUAGGACUUAUCAUAUAUUUGAUGAGGAAAGACGCAUAUAGUUUGAAAUUUUUGCAAUGAAGUAGAGAGAUAACAAUAUGCUUGUCUUUUGCAUUCCUUUAUUUCUUAUUGCCUUUUUUUUUCUAGGCUACCAAAUAUUUUAUCUACUCAAAACAAUGAGACAACCAGAGGCUCUAACUUGAAUUAGUUAACCAGAAAUCCCAAUCACAACCAAUGACUAAAAAGAGAUGCUCUAUGAGUUCGAACGGCAUGCAAGCCACAAGCCUUUGACCAAAUAACAAUUACUUAGCUCACAUUAUGAUCCAUAUUUUUAAUUAACAUUUCAACAUGCCCUCUAACGAGAUAAACGGAAGACAAUCAUAAGUAGCUCAUUUGUGUACGAAUCAGAAUGCGAACCAUAUGAGAUUGUCUAAAUCAGGAAAUUUUGGAGAAGCAUUAUACUUCAUAACAAUGUGAGUAAACGAAGCAAAAUGUGUGAUGGAAGAUAAAAAAGAAUUGGUUGUUCUUCACAAGAUUGAAUAAUAUUAGUUAUUUAUGAAGAACUUCAAGAAAGGUAAAUAUUUUGAUCUAAGAAAUGGCAAGAGGUAAGCGAUUAGCAGUUUCUCUUCAAUCUUAAAGCAGGUAGGAAUUGCGAUCACUAACCGGAUGAAUGUUUUGAAGAGAGUUGAAGUGGUGGGUCAUGGGUUGAGACAAUCAAGCAUCAUGUGAAUCAAUCAUUGCUUGCACAAGGAUGAGAUGGAGAAGUCUCGAGAGUUUUUGGAACAACUUAGAGUAUAGCAUGUUGAGGUAGACGUAAUAGAAUAGUGUCAUGGCUAAAUAUCAUAUACAAUUUCAACAAGAACCCAGAGCAGAGUCAGGUGGGGCAAAGUUUUGAAACCCAAAGGUAGUUUAAUCUAGGCUCGACGCUUUAAAAGCAUUUUAUGAAGAAGACUUCUAGGUUUCUCAAAUAUUUUUAAAAAACUCAGCUAAGUAGCCAAUCUGAGACACUCAAGUGAGUUUUAAAGUCCAUUGCUAAGUUAUUAAACACGGAUAUAUAUUAGAAAACCUUCAAUACGACUCUCACUCAAGAUGAACGAUGGGAUCCAACAAAAACAUAAAACAUGAAACUUGAAACUUUCAUGCCUCAAAGAUAUAUUGAAACAAAGUUUCCUAGAGGAUGGGAUCUUUUUAUUAGUCGAUCUUCAAAGAAAGGAUUCACAACGUGGAUUAUCUUCAAGAGUUCCACACCAAUACUGACAUUUGUCUUCUUAGGCUUCGGCUUAGUGGUAAGCAUAUCGGGUUGGGUGAAGGAGGUCAAGAAUUGAAAACCUUGAAGUUUGUCUUGAAAAGCCCAAAGGCCCCAAACAAAAAGACUUGCCCUUUUCCCUUGAAGUUUGCCCCAAAAAUCCCAAACAAGCUGACCAAGGCUCUUUUAAGAAGGGCCUUUAGGCUUGGAUGGUCAAGGUGGCAGGGUGCCACAGUCUGACGUCUACAGUUCCAUUCCUACUAUUGUACUAUUGAAAAAAAUUAAUAAGAAUGACAUUGACCAACAUAAGCUAAUUAUGCAAGCAAGAUGCAAUAUUGAUGGACCAUAUAUCCUUGCACUAUAAUCAUUCAAGGGGAUUAUGGGGAAGAAUAUCCGAUCUAUUCUAAAUAGUAAUGCGUCAUCAUCAUCACAACCUUUUCCCAAUUAUUUGGGGUCAGAUGCACGAAUCCUAGUCUAGUAGUCUGCACUAUUAAAGGCCAUACCCUCAGUGAGAAAAGAAGUCCUCAUAUCUUUUCGAACUACUUCCAACCACGUCCUUUUGAGCCUACCCCUUGCCCUUUUUAAUCAUUCAACUUGAACUAACUCGCACCUCCUAACAGGUACCGUAUUGGGUCGGUGCCACACAUGGCCAACCCACCACUUAAGUCUACUCUCUCUCAUCUUAUCGCUGAUUGGUGCCACACCUAAAUUUUCCUGAAAGGAUUCAUUUCAAAUUGUAUCCCUGCUUGUCUUGCCCCUCAUCCAUCUCAACAUCCUGAUCUCCGCUACAAUCAUUUGUAUAAUACUUUUUGCAUGUCCAACAUUUCACCCCAUAGAGCAAAGCUAGUCUCACAAUUGUCCUGUAGAACUUGCUCUUCAGUUUUGUUGGUAUGCGAUGAUCACAUAAAAUUCUAGUUGCACAUCUCCACUUCGCCCACCCAGCUCUAAUUUUGUGUGCGCCAUCUUCCUCAAUCUCUUUAUUUUCCUAGAUUAUUUCAAAAUAAUAAUGGGUAAUGAUUAAUUUUUGAGAGACUGCAUGAUUUGCUUAUUGUUUGGACUUUGGAAUAAAUAAAGACAGGCACAAAGCGACAAACAUAUUCCCUUCUUUGAUAAGAGGUUUGGAAAGAGAAGGCCCCACUUUCUAAAGCAGUAAAUUCAUUUCUGGAUUCUCAGAAAUGUGGAGGUUACAUUUUAGGUAAUAUUUGAUAUGAUUGUGCUUGCUUUGGCCAUUUGUGGGGAAGUAAAAUAAUGAGAAGAGCCCAAAAGGAUGAGGAUUAUUUACCAUUACAAUUAAGUGGACAUAAGAACCAUAUGUUAAACACCAUAUGAAUAAUUCUGAGCUCACUGUUAUUGCGAUUAGAUUUAUAAAUGGAUGUUAUAUUCCUUAAUCAACAGCUGACUACUGAAAAUUUAUUGAACAAAUGCUUAUCACAAGUAACAAUGACUUAUUCCUUUAUUUUCGAUUCUAGUCAUCUUGAUCUAAGACAGUUAACAAGCUCAUUGUUGGAUAUUGACCCAAAACUCAUUGGUAGACAGUCUAGUUAUAAUUAAUGCUGACUUAGGUUAGAGGGAUUUUGAGACUUCAUAAAUCAGGUGCCUUCAUAUUAAUGUUUUUCAUGCCAUUUUAAUUGCUUUAUUUUCAUUAAUGCAACUAUCACUUCUCAUGAAUGGAAAAAGGAUAAAUGAGGGAAAAGUUAAAGUAAAAUGUCACAUUCCAUUCUGCAUAACUGAAUAACACCUCGUCUUCCCAAAUACCAGAUUAAAUAAUCUCUAUACUCCAUAACUAAACCCAGUAAUCAAUUAAAUAAAUCGAGAGUAUAAAAAUAAAUGCAUACAAAAUUUUAAAGGGAGGGAAACUAUCACUGAGCAAGAAUUUGAACAGAAUCCAUAAAACUAUAAACCUGAAAAUUACCAAAUCAAAUCAAUAGAAGUAGAACUAAAGCUCCUUAAACUGAUAAUAACAGAGUGAACAAAGAAAGGCGAAUAAAUGGAAACCAAAAAGAGAGAAGAAACCUACUUAUGGAAGAAAACUCCAUACCAAAUUCAACUUUCAUCGAGUUUCUGAUGAAAUUCUCAAUUCUUCGGCAUCGUCCAUCAAAACUCACACAAAAUUCACGGACAUUUACAUGAAACCCGGCUUUUGCCUACUGAAUUUCCUCCCAAACGCGACCAGUUUGGGCCAUAGUUGGUUAAUUCUGCCAAUUAAAAAAUAAUAAUAAUAAUUGGGUGAAUUUCAGUCGGGGGCAUCUUGCUGUUCAAAUUUAAAACUUUAAGGUGGGAAGAGUAGAUAAAAACGGAUCGGAUUGCUUGGUGUGUGAGAGAAAAAAAUUUUGAACUUGAGCUUGGUCAAUGAAAUCAAUGCAGCUAAAUUUCAUUGAAUGCAGUUAAAAGGGAGAUCUUUUAAGAGGAAAAACUAAAAUAUA